GACGAACGCUGGCGGCGUGCCUAAUACAUGCAAGUUGAGCGCUGAAGGUUGGUACUUGUACCGACUGGAUGAGCAGCGAACGGGUGAGUAACGCGUGGGGAAUCUGCCUUUGAGCGGGGGACAACAUUUGGAAACGAAUGCUAAUACCGCAUAAAAACUUUAAACACAAGUUUUAAGGUUGAAAGAUGCAAUUGCAUCACUCAAAGAUGAUCCCGCGUUGUAUUAGCUAGUUGGGGAGGUAAAGGCCCACCAAGGCGAGGAUACAUAGCCGACCUGAGAGGGUGUUCGGCCACAUUGGGACUGGGACACGGCCCAAACUCCUACGGGAGGCAGCAGUAGGGAAUCUUCGGCAAUGGACGAAAGUCUGACCGAGCAACGCCGCGUGAGUGAAGAAGGUUUUCGGAUCGUAAAACUCUGUUGGUAGGGAAGAACGUUGGUGAGAGUGGAAAGCUCAUCAAGUGACGGUAACUACCCAGAAAGGGACGGCUAACUACGUG
rnacentral:rRNA from 1 species